UACAGAGGGUGCAAGCGUUAAUCGGAAUUACUGGGCGUAAAGCGCGCGUAGGUGGUUUGUUAAGUUGGAUGUGAAAUCCCCGGGCUCAACCUGGGAACUGCAUUCAAAACUGACAAGCUAGAGUAUGGUAGAGGGUGGUGGAAUUUCCUGUGUAGCGGUGAAAUGCGUAGAUAUAGGAAGGAACACCAGUGGCGAAGGCGACCGCCUGGACUGAUACUGACACUGAGGUGCGAAAAGCGUGGGGAGCAAACAGG
rnacentral:rRNA from 1 species